AAAGAUUCGAUGAAGCAAAGAGUAGUUGGUGAUUCUCCAGUUGAGCGAGGGACGUAGGAUGGAAGGUCCUCUGGAGGCUAUCGAUGAACCGCAUUGCGGAGAUGACUGGUCGAAAGUUGAGAUUAGUCCGCAGAUGUCUGCGUUAACAAACAGAGUGUUAUUAGGAAGCUAAUGACAAAUUAGAGUGGUACCGUGGAAAAAAAGUCCGCCUCUUCA
rnacentral:ncRNA from 1 species